UCUUCCCUCCUUGGGCUCCCCAAAUGCUGGGAUUACAGGUAUGAGCCACUGUGCCUGGAACAGGAGUUAUCAUUAGUGGCACUAUAUGUGGAAUUUCAUACCGAAACCUUUCAGAGGCAAUGUACUUAGUUGGUGACUUCCUAUACAGCCUUUGGCAAAUGACUUAACUUUUGAGUGUUUAAGUUUUGCUUCUUUUCUAAGAAUACAAGAAGUAAGAAAGAAUUAAUGAGUUGUUUUUGAAAGUAUUGAGCCCUACAGAUAAGAAAAUGAAAGAUGCUUUUUAAGUAUGCAAAAUAGCUUUUUGUUUGAAAGCACAGCAGUUUAAAGACUGCUAUCCUCACUAUCAUCAUGAGAGAUUGUCUUUUUGAAAGCGUUAAUGUCAUAUUGACUUUUGAAAUCCUUCAAGAAUAUUUGGAUUAGAUUCUAAUAUAAAAAUUGUCUUCAUUCUAGAAAGAGAAAUAGUUAGAAGAAAUAUAUAGAAAAAAUAAUCUAAAAUUAGUUUCUUCUGAAGGAAUGAGGUAAUGAGGUUAAUAAUCACCAAGGCACAAAUAUACAUAUAAGGCUAGUUAUAAAAGGGAGGGUUUGGGAGGCACAGAAGAGUAAAGAAUCCUGGGAUCCAGUUCCUUCUUUUUUGCUAUGUAGUUGCAUGACCUUGGGCAAGUCAUGUUACUUUUUUAGGGCUCAAUUGCCUUGUCUAUAAAAUGAAGUUUUUAGCUCAAUAACUAUGCUUCUAUUGGGCAUACCACUUUUUAUAAUAUCUUCCAAAAAAUUUAUUUUAUUUUAUUUGGUAAUUGUUUUAUUUUAGAUUCUGGGGAUACACAUGCAGGUUAGUUGCAUGGGUAUAUUGUGUGAUUCUGAGAUUUGGGAUACAAAUGAUCCUGCCAUCCAGGUAGUGAGCAUAGUACCCAACAGUAAAUUUUUCACCUCUCACCUCCACUUCCCCUUCUAGUGGUCCUCAGUGUCUGUUGUUGCCAUCUUUAUGUCCAUGUUUUCUCGAUGUUUAGAUCCUGUGUAUAAGUGAGAAAAUGAGGUAUUUGGUUUUCUGUUUCUGUGUUAAUUCACUUAGGGUAAUGGCCUCCAGCUCUACCUCAUGUUGCUCCAUAGGACAUAAUUUAAUUCAUUUUUAUGAUUAUAUAAUAUUCUAUGGUGUAUAUGUGCUACAUUUUCUUUAUCUAAUCCACUGUUGAUAGGCACCUAGAUUGAUCUUAUCUUUGCCAUUGUAGAUAGCAUUGUGACAAACAUAAGAGUGUAUGUGUCUUUUUGGUAGAAGGAUGUAUUUUAUUUUGGAUAUGUAUACCCUGUAAUGCGAUUGAUUGUUGGGUAAAUUGGUAGUUCUGUUUUAAAUUCUUUGAGAAAUCUCCAAACUACUUUCCAAGGCAGCUGAACUAAUUUACAUUCCCACGAACAGUAUAAGAGUUCCCUUUUCCCUGCACCUUCACCAGCAUCUGUUUUUCUUGUUGUUGUUGUUGACUUUUUAAUAAUAGCCAUGUUGGCUGGUGUAAGGUGGUAUCUUAUUGCGGUUUUGAUUUGCAUUCCUCUGAUGAUUAGUGAUGUUGAGUAUUUUUUCAAAUGUUUGUUGGCUGCUUGUAUGUCUUCUUUUGAGACGUGCCUGUUCAUGUUUUUUGCCCACUUUUUAAUGGGAUUAUUCGUUUUUUGCUUGUUGAAUUGUUUAAGUUUUUAUAGAUGCUGGAAGUUAGACUUUUGUCAGAUGCAUCAUUUCAGAAUAUUUUCUUCCAUUCUCUAUGUUGUCAGUUUACUCUGUUGAUAGUUUCUUUCACUGUGCAGAAACUCUUUAGUUUAAUACUAGGUCUCACACAUCAAUUUUUGUUUUUGUUGCAAUUGCUUUUGACGAGUUAGUCAUAAAUUAUUUCCUAAGGCUGAGUUUAGAAUGGCAUUUCUGAUGUUUUCUUCUAGGAUUCUUAUAGUUUGAAGUCUUACAUUUACAUCUUUAAUCUAUCUUGAGUUAAUUUUUGUAUAUGGUGAAAAGUAGGGGUUCAAUUUCAUUCUUCUGCAUAUGGAUAGCAAGUUAUCCCAGUAUCAUUUAUUGAAUAGGGAGUCCUUUCCCCAUUGCUUGUUAUUAUUUUUAGUAGAGACAGGGUCUUGCCAUGUUGCUCAGGCUGGUCUCAAACUCUGGGCUCAAGUGAUCCUCUUGCAUUGGCCUCCCAAAGUGCUGGAAUUACAGGUGUGAGCAACCAUGCCUGGCGCCUCCAUUGCUUAUUUUUGUUGACAUUGUCAAAGAUCAGAUGGUGGUAGAUGUGCAGCUUUAUUUCCAGGCUCUCUAUUCUGUUUAAUUGGUCCAUGUGUCUGUUUUGUACCAGUACUAUGCUGUUUUGUUUCUGCAGCCCUGUAUUAUAGUUUGUAGUCAGGUAAUAUGAUGCCUUUAGCUUUGUUCUUUUUGUUUAGGAUUGUUUUGGCAUUUGGGCUCUUUUUUGGUUCCUUGUGAAUUUUAGAAUAGUUUUUUCUAAUUCUGAGAAAAAUGACAUGGGUAGUUUGAUAGGUUUAGCAUUGAAUCUAUAGAUUGUUUUGGGCAGUAUGGCCAUUUUAGUGAUAUUGAUUCUUCCAAUCCAUGAGCAUGGAAUGCUUUUCCAGUAGUUUGUGUCAUCUAUGAUUCCAGCGAAAUAUUUUAAACAUAUAUGCUAAUUAUUGAUGGAACAGAGAUUUUUGAAGGAUGCAUAAUCAUAAUCAAAGCAAAGACUAAAGACCAAAUCCAAAACUCUGUGUGUGUGUGUAUGUGUGUUAGUGGUGGUAGUUCAGGCACUGGAGAGAAAGGGGCUUAAACAAAGAGAAAGAUGUUACAGUAGAUGACAAGAGAAUGAGUGUUUAUAAUGUUAAUUCUAGAUCUCUUGUUUCUGACUGUAGCUUCAACCUGAGAGUCCUCAAUUUGGAAUUAAGACAAGCAGUGUGACACAGUACAAAUAGGCCUGAAAACACCGUGAGAAAUCUAGUUUCCAAUCACUGUUCUCAGUGAUUAGUAAUGUGAUAUUUGACAUGUCAUUUCACCUCCUGGGUGUUCUCAGAGGUAAAAAGAGGUGGCUGGGCAUGAUUACUCAGGUCCCUUCCAGUCCUUAAAGACUGAAUUCUUAAGAGGAGAGUGACCAACUUUACUGUGGUGUGGGUAUUGGGUGGAGUGGCUUCAUGGCAUUUUGGGAUCAAUCUGAAGUUUGUAAUUAAAGAAGAGUUCAGGAAGAACUAUGUUACUUAUUUUUAAAGGACAUUUGAAAUAUUUCUACCACAACUUGUGUCUUAAUCAGCUAUAUUCACAAUAAUGCUAUAUACCAGCCGCUGCAAAAUUCAGUGGCUUCUAACAAAAAAGUCAUUUCUUUCUCGCUUGUGCUUCUGCAGGUUGACUGAAGUUUGGCUCAUGUAGACUAGACUUCGUUCCAGGCUGUGGUUAGCUUUGGGUGUCUCUAUGGGACCAGUGAACUAUCCUGGGUAUGUGGACUGACUCAGGGCUAUGUAGACUUGCAGAGGGAAAGUGCAAUUGCUCAAGCAAAUUUCAGUUUUUCCACCUAGGUUGUUUUUGCUAAUGUCCAAUUGACCAAUGUAAAUAAUAUGACCAACCACAUAGUUAAGGGGCUCAGUAGUACAUUACACAUCCAUAAGACCAUGGCAAGGGUACAGAUGUGUAGCACUACUAGAGGAGAGUAAAGAAUUUGGGCCGAUAAUUAAAAUUUUGACAAUGUGACCUAUAUGUAUAUGGAUGUGUAAUGGAACAAGGAAAGCAAACCAGGCUUCUGGUGGGUUAGGUGAGAGAACAGCAUAGGUUUGAGUGGGGAAGGAUCUAGGCUCUCUAACUCCAUGUCAAUAAUUGACUAACUUGUAUAGACCUAAGUUCUAUACUCACUAGUGAAGUAGUUCCUUAUAGUCUGAUUCAGUGAUGCUCGUAAUGAAUUUCUAUAGAAAAACUAUUCUUUUCAAAGUCGAUGAUGACCUCCAUUUUACCAAACCCCAUAAUCAAUUCUCAAUUCUCACCUUAUUUGAUCUAUCUGUGGCAUCUGAUAUCGUUGAACACUCUGUCUUCCAGGUACAUUUUUUCACUUGGCUUUACUUCUGCUUGAAGACCAUUGCUCAGAACUAGUGACAUGGGUUCAUCCAACUUCAAGGAAAGCUAGCAAAUUAAGGGAAGAGCAGGUAUUCAGGGAGCACUGACUGCUUCUAGCACAUGCUCUGAAGGAUUCUCUGAACCUGCUUCAUUUCCCUUGGUUCCAUAAUUUUGGGGUGUGCCUCCUGGCAUUGCAUCUCUACUAUAUAUUGAUAACAUUCUCUAAAGGUAAGAAUUCUCUAAAGAAUACAUGGAUAAAAUGGCCCUAAAGGGAACAUAGAAGGAAUAAGAAAGAAGCAGUGAACACAUAUAUGGUACUGGUAGUAUUUACUAGCUGAUGACCUCAGCAGAUUAUUUAACCCCAUUGUGCUUCAACUACCUUGUCUGUAAAGAUAGGAGUGAUAAUAAUAGCACCCGCCUCAUAGGAUUGUUUUGAGGACAAAAUUAAUGUACAUGAGACACUUAGAACAGUGCCUGGAACAUGGAGAGCACAAUAAGUCCUAGCUAUUAUUAUUUCAUGAACAAUUAAAUUCUGAAUAAUAGAGAACUGAAAAUAAAAGUGAUUGUAAAUUUAUAAAAUUUUAAAUAAUCUCCUGUAUAAACCCCAGACUAAUGAAGAAGGUUCUCAUUUUAAUAUGUUUUAUUACAAGGAUUAUGGAAACCCAUAAAAAGUAAACACAGAAUGUGUUCCUUCCCUGCACAUGUGGCACUUUGGCUGGAGGUAAACAUUUUGUUUUUGGAAAAGCUGAAAAAGAGCAAGGCAAAAGAGCCAAUGAGUAGAGGGCACUUAGGAUGUGUUUUGGAAUUGCACGCCAUAUUGCUUUAUUGAAACUCUCAUUCAGUAUCAACGGACUGUGUGAUGAGGGUCCCCAGGGCGAAGGGCCCCAUCAGAUGCUUUCAGAGAACUCAGGCCCGCCCCUGCUGAUGUGGCUCUGUGAUGAUGGCUUGUCUUCUAAGUUGUCAGCAGGAAGACAUUCUUGCUGCCUUCUUUCCCUCUGCAUUGCCAACAAGGAAGAACAGCCGGGGAAAAUGAGACAGAAUCUUUUUCCAAUUACAUAGUAUGCAUAUUUUAUUUCAGCCGCCGCCUGUGAGAAACAUGAUCCUGAGUGAUUUAGUGGUGCUGAGGCAAAGCCAGCCUAUGAAAGAUUUGGAAGUACAUUGGUAAAUUUCCAGAAGAUUAUUUGGGUGAAAUGGCAUGGUAGGUUAAUUAUCAGAUUGAAAGCCUUUUAGUUGCUAUAGAGGAGAUACCACAGUCCCAGAUACAGUCCCAAAUUACUCUUAGAGCAUAAAAUGGUAAAAAAAAAAAAAAAAAAAAAAAAGUGAGAAAUCAAUGUGGGUUUUUAGACUCUAAUUGUUUUGAAGGGGAGAGGGCAGAGCUUUUAGAAGACAGGUGAUUUACUUGGUGGCACUUAGCUGCUAACUUUCACUUUAAGUAAGGGUAUAUGUGAGUUGACUCCUCAUUCACAUCUUCAUAUAACUCUUAUUUCUUCAUAAAUGUUCCUCAAGGAGAAGGCCAAGUUGAAAUUUUCCUUGUGCUGAACUAAGUAAAACAUCAGCCAAAAUUCCAGCCAACAGUUUUUGCAAAGGCAUAACUUCUGAACCAGAGUCUAAACAAAGUGAAAUAGAGGAGAUGACAUGAAUGAGGGACUACAUUGGAAUGAAGAAGAACCUGGAGGAGGUAAAAAAACUGAAGGCUCCGGAUGUCGGACGAUGGAAAAUAAAAACAACAAGCAAGUGAAACUCCCUGACUUAUCAACCUUACUCAAGAAAUGGGAAUUUCUGCCCUAGAGAGGUCUUGGAAACUUUCUCACCAGAAGAGCACAACUUGAUGGCAGGAAGCUCCUGAUGGAGGCCUGAAAAUGGCCCUGAAAGGGAUGCCAGGGGACCAGGGCUCCACUAUUAUCAGCGUGUGACUUUGGACAAGGAUGUUAAUGGCUCUGUGACUCAGUUACCUCUUCUGUACUUUGCUUAGGGGUCUAUUGCUUUCCAUUUUGUCUUUUUCAUUUGUUAAAUCCAAUGAUGUCACUGACAGUAAAAACUAGUAAAUAGUAAAAAAAAAAAAAAAAAAAAGUAAAACCAUGGCUUCUCUUUUGGAGAUGGCAUCCCCAUGCUGCCUAUCUUUUCUUACACUUACUCACAAAUAUUUUUGAUGUACUUAUAACUCAGGAAAUACCUUCCGAGGCAAAAAUGUGUGUGGAUCAGUAGAGGUAGCAGCAGCAGUAGCUGCCAAGUGCCCUGAUGGCCUGGAGUCAGAUGGCUACAUUGCACUCAGUUCUCCCAUCUUCCAUAGAUACUGGAUGUUAUCCUUCAAUGUUUGCCUUGAGCCAGAUGGAGAGGAAAGAGGCAGAGUUAACUUGUCUUUCUAUUUUCAUUCUCCCAAAUACAACUGAUUUUUUACUCUACUCCUGGAUACCUUUCUUAUAUCACAACUCUGAUGAUGUAACUUUUCUCAACCAAACUUUCAGGGGACCCUCUAUGAUCUCAGAAUGAAACCCCAACUGUGUUGUAUACAUUUAACAUGCAUUCUACUUUCCUUCCUUCCUUACAUUUUAGCUGCGUGGAAUUCCUUGGCUUUCAAUGUGGAAGAAAGUUUGUGGUCCUUGCCCCACCUCCCCUCCCCAAGGUUGCAAGAAGAGGGGGUUAGAAUUGUGGCUUUCUUUAAUUUGAUCCAAUGCUCCUUCCCCUGCAACUUCUGCUUCCAUACAAUUAAUAACUAUUUUCGAAUCAAUGAAAUAACAAUCAUUCUUUAAUACCUCAGUAUAAACGAUCUUAUUAAAAGUUAUGCAGCCUGGUCCAAAAAUGGCACAGGACAGAGGAUGGGGCCAGAAUCUUUGCCAGGGCACUGCCAAGAAGGGCAUGACCAGUGGAGACACUUGAGUGGAUGGAUGCUGUGUGUCCCAGAAUAUACAUGGAGUUGAGGUACAGGCAUGGCAUUGAAUAUGAGUAGAGCAGUGCAGAAAGAAAGAAAGGAGCAAACUUCAGAAGCCUCACAAGUUUUCCUAGAGUCAUCCCUGUGAGCUUCACAAUCUAGCUGUCCUUAAGGAAUGUUUCUUUUAUGUGGAGCACUGCACACCUAAGACAUUUUUAAUGUUUUGCUCUGCCAAGUGCAGCUAUAAGAAGGAAUUUCCAGGUAGAGAAACAGAAGGAUUGGAGAAAAUUCUUAGAAUCGUGCGUAUAAGGCAAUUCCGUUGCAGCAUCAUCUGCUGUGGUCCUUUGAGAAAACUAAGUGUUUAUUUCCAUGAUUUAAAAUCAAGUCAGUCUUUAUCUAGGGUUUGGGAAGGCUUACAUUGGCUCAGGACCAAAAUGAAGAUAGGACUAGAACUUUCCCAAGAAUGUACGAAUAAAUGUAUGUGUGAGUUUCAAGUUGCACUGGCAACACUUUGGAGAAGUUAGCACUUCAGAAUCAUGAGGAUUGUUUAAGCUGUCAUCCCAUUGGCUGGCUGUGUGGAAGUUACCCAUUGUAUGGAAGGUGACCCUGACUAGACCUUGUACAGUCCCUUAAGAUAGAUUAAUAGUGAAGUCCUCUAACAUGUUUUCUGAACCUGUCAAUGAAAGAAGAGAGAGAUGCCUACCAGUGCAGAGGAAAGGAGUGGAUAUAUCUUAAGUCUUUGUUAUUUCUGUCAUGCAGAUGACUCAGGUAUAAAAACUAGAAAUUCUUCCUAAUGUGGAUUAGGGAACUCAGGCUUCACAGUAUAAGCCAAACAAAAAAAAGUUUCAUCACCAACAAACUGUCCUACCAGUUGGUGGCACCGUUAUCCACAUCCUUUGUUCCCCAAGGCAAUACUGAUGAUAAGGCUACAUUCAGUGACAUUUAGUGAAACUGACUGCUGUGAGGGCUCUUUAUAAACUUGCACCAGAAGUACAUCUCUUUUAGUUUAUUUUUAGGUUAUGAUAAUAGGUGCAAGGCUUUACAGCUAAAGGAUUCCUCUCUUAUAUAGUUAUUUCCAGUAGUAUGAAUAAUAGAUAUUCUAGUGGUAAUAGUACUGGUAGCAAAAACUACUCUUCUGCUGCUAGGAUUCUAUGAAUCCUACUACUUUUACUUCAGUUACUCCUAUUAUUGUUAUAUCACUAAUUGUGCAGGUUUUGUGUCAGGGCUUUUGAUACACGAUGUUUAAUGCUUAUAGUCAUUCUGUGAGGUGUGUAAUAUUAUUCUUACUUUAUAGAAGAGGAAACUGAAGUUCAGAAAGAUUGAUGUAUCCACACAAAUAAAUUGCUGACUUGGAAUUUGA